GGGGAGAGGGCGGGAGAAGCAGCACCUGGACAACCAGCACUCAGGUGUCCCUACCCCGCACCCCAGGCUACGCCCUCUCCGUAAUGGGGCACGAAAGCCCCCAACCUCCAGAGUCCCCCACGCGAGCAGCAGCCUGGCUCCCAGCAGACACAGUCGUCCUGGACCACUUUGGGAAAAGGACAAGCCGUGCUCGAGUUUGGGUCCCCCCCUUGCAAAUUUCCCUUCAUAUGGGGGAAUGCGAAGAGGAAAUCAGCUGUGUCGCUGGGGAAUCUCUACUAUCCUGUCUUGUCCUCUUCUAGGGCGUGGGGAAGACUCGGGUGACUUAAGAGCUCCUGCCAUUAGAAAAGAACAUCUCAAAAUCUUUCAAAUAAUUGAUGCUGUCUGUGUAUUAUCUGGCCUUGGAGCAAAAGCAGCAGUGGUCCUUCCGGUGUCGCCUUCAUCAAAGGAAAAAAGGUGCUGGUACUGCAUACCUUUGUGUAUCCUCAGGGGGAAAAAGCACCGUCUGUUUCUACAUAUUUGACCAAACUGCGGGAGGCAGUGGAAGACAGGAGUGCCUGGCGUGCUCUGGUCCAUGGGGUCACGAAGAGUUGGACAUGACUAAACAACAACAAAUUUCUACAAAGGUCUUCCAUCUGAAUUUACCGCUUUUCUGCCUUCCUUCCCUUGGGUACAGCGGCGAGGAAAGAGCCGCGCGGGCCGAUGGCAUCAUCGCAGGGCGCCAAUCCGCCGCGGCCUCCAAGGCGGAAGUGCG